rnacentral:rRNA from 1 species
GCCAGACUCCUACGGGAGGCAGCAGUGGGGGAUAUUGCACAAUGGGGGGAACCCUGAUGCAGCGACGCCGCGUGGGUGAAGGAGCGUUUCGGCGCGUAAAGCCCUAUCGGCAGGGAAGAAGGAGGACGGUACCUGACUAAGAAGCCCCGGCUAACUACGUGCCAGCAGCCGCGGUAAUACGUAGGGGGCAAGCGUUAUCCGGAUUUACUGGGUGUAAAGGGGGCGCAGACGGCAGCGCAAGCCAGGAGUGAAAGCCCGGGGCCCAACCCCGGGACUGCUCUUGGAACUGCGCGGCUGGAGUGCAGGAGGGGCAGGCGGAAUUCCUGGUGUAGCGGUGAAAUGCGUAGAUAUUAGGAAGAACACCAGUGGCGAAGGCGGCUUACUGGACAGUAACUGACGUUGAGGCUCGAAAGCGUGGGGAGCAAACAGGAUUAGAUACCCCCGUAACU